GACGAACCGUGCAAACGUUGUUCGGAAUCACUGGGCUUAAAGGGCGCGUAGGCGGGCUCGCCAGUCAGGGGUGAAAGCCCACGGCUCAACCGUGGAAGUGCCUUUGAUACUGCGAGUCUCGAGGGAGGUAGGGGCGUGCGGAACUUCCGGUGGAGCGGUGAAAUGCGUAGAUAUCGGGAGGAACACCAGUGGCGAAGGCGACUACCUGGCCUGUUCUUGACGCUGAGGCGCGAAAGCUAGGGGAGCAAACGGG
rnacentral:rRNA from 1 species